rnacentral:lncRNA from 1 species
AGCGAAUAUAAGUCUUAAUAGUGAACGUGGUUCGGCCAUCUGAAUGCCGAACUCUAAAUCCCACUUGAGAGUAUCCAAUCAUAAAAUAACUCGGCGUGCAAUGCGCCGAGCUCAGUAAGCUGUAACACCUCACUUCGCCGAGAAGGCGAAUGAGAUGACCUCGAUCAAUAAGGAUUUGGAAAUCCUUCUCGAACGAGACUUGGAUAGGUAACCAACCGCCCUCGCCGCAGUGCUGUUGAUGCCAACGAAAGAUGCUGCGAGAUCGGUUGAUUCUACAGCGACAGAGCUAUCUAUGCCGACUUAAGAUAUCACCGGUUGCUUUCACAGUGCUGUUGAUGCCAACGGAAGAUGUGUCAGCAAAAAGAGAAAAUAAAAAUCUCAAAGUUAUUGAGAGAGUUUGUGCAGGGCAGUUAUGUGUUGAAUUGGAAGGGGCCCCAAACGAUGUACAGCCUUCUCUAUUUAUAGCACCGGAUACCUUCAAGGUUGAGUUAAAAACCUACCCGGAUUAGGACUUCUUCUCCUGAUCAAACAUUAACUCGACCAGUCAUAUUUUCACUAUAAUUGUGAACCUAGUCCUUUAUUGAGCCGGAUUCACUUCCGGGUUAUUAAUCUUGCCGAGACUCCUCAUUGCACCAGGAUUCGACUCGUCAUGCAGCAUGACUUAACCGACCCAGGUUUGGAAGGCCACGACCUAACUGAUCCAGAACUAAACGAUCCCUGAUAUUUUGGGCCCAAACAAAUUCAUAAUAUAUAUAUAUACACACACACACACCACAUUAUACCAAAAAAUUAAAGAAUAAU